GACGAACGCUGGCGGCGUGCCUAAUACAUGCAAGUUGAGCGAUGAAGAUUGGUGCUUGCACCCAUUUGAAGAGCAGCGAACGGGUGAGUAACGCGUGGGGAAUCUGCCUUUGAGCGGGGGACAACAUUUGGAAACGAAUGCUAAUACCGCAUAACAACUUUAAACAUAAGUUUUAAGUUUGAAAGAUGCAAUUGCAUCACUCAAAGAUGAUCCCGCGUUGUAUUAGCUAGUUGGUGAGGUAAAGGCUCACCAAGGCGAUGAUACAUAGCCGACCUGAGAGGGUGAUCGGCCACAUUGGGACUGAGACACGGCCCAAACUCCUACGGGAGGCAGCAGUAGGGAAUCUUCGGCAAUGGAAGAAAGUCUGACCGAGCAACGCCGCGUGAGUGAAGAAGGUUGUCGGAUCGUAAAACUCUGUUGGUAGAGAAGAACGUUGGUGAGAGUGGAAAGCUCAUCAAGUGACGGUAACUACCCAGAAAGGGACGGCUAACUACGUG
rnacentral:rRNA from 1 species